AGGAGGCAUAUGGAGGUAAUGGUUAACUUUGCUACAGUGAAGACCAAGGUAAAUUGGGUGCACUGAAGAGAAAAACCUGACCACUUCUGCAGCUGUGCAUCUGGAGUCUGAAGAAUUCCAAAUGUGCUACCAUCCAUGUAGUUUUACUUGAAAAACCCCCUUGGAAAUUAACAAUAAGGCACUGACUGGAGCUGAAUUUGCAAAUGUUUUAGGAAGAAACUUUAUCUCAGACUACCCUUGAUGUAUCAAAAUAUUUAAAGCAAUUGGCAAAGGCAGUGAGCAAUUCACUCUCAGGCACAUGAAUAUCACCGGGAGAGGGCUGAAUGUUCAGAUAUGCAAGAGGGAAAGCUAAAGCACACAAGUCCUUUUAGACCCAGGCUCAGAAGUGAUACACCGUCUCUUUCAACUCAUUCUAUUGGCCAAAUAAUCAGACCAUAUGAUGUCCUGAAAAUUCUUCCACAAUAUUUAACCAACACUUUCCAGAAAAACUUCAUUUAUCUCCAUGUACCAAUAUUUUGGGGUCCAGCCCAAUUCCUGUCCCUUCAGUGAAGCCUUAUUUAAUUUUACCAAUAAAUAAUAGCUCUCUUUUUUGAAUA
ensembl:lncRNA MIR924HG MIR924 host gene